rnacentral:rRNA from 1 species
AACGAACGCUGGCGGCAGGCCUAACACAUGCAAGUCGAGCGGACCCUUCGGGGUUAGCGGCGGACGGGUGAGUAACGCGUGGGAAUAUGCCCUUCUCUACGGAAUAGUCCUGGGAAACUGGGGGUAAUACCGUAUACGCCCUUUGGGGGAAAGAUUUAUCGGGGAAGGAUUAGCCCGCGUUGGAUUAGGUAGUUGGUGGGGUAAUGGCCUACCAAGCCGACGAUCCAUAGCUGGUUUGAGAGGAUGAUCAGCCACACUGGGACUGAGACACGGCCCAGACUCCUACGGGAGGCAGCAGUGGGGAAUCUUAGACAAUGGGUGCAACCCUGAUCUAGCCAUGCCGCGUGAGUGAUGAAGGCCUUAGGGUUGUAAAGCUCUUUCAGCUGGGAAGAUAAUGACGGUACCAGCAGAAGAAGCCCCGGCUAACUCCGUG